GGGGAAUAUUGCACAAUGGGGGAAACCCUGAUGCAGCGACGCCGCGUGGAGGAAGAAGGUCUUCGGAUUGUAAACUCCUGUUGUUGAGGAAGAUAAUGACGGUACUCAACAAGGAAGUGACGGCUAACUACGUGCCAGCAGCCGCGGUAAAACGUAGGUCACAAGCGUUGUCCGGAAUUACUGGGUGUAAAGGGAGCGCAGGCGGGAGGACAAGUUGGAAGUGAAAUCCAUGGGCUCAACCCAUGAACUGCUUUCAAAACUGUUUUUCUUGAGUAGUGCAGAGGUAGGCGGAAUUCCCGGUGUAGCGGUGGAAUGCGUAGAUAUCGGGAGGAACACCAGUGGCGAAGGCGGCCUACUGGGCACCAACUGACGCUGAGGCUCGAAAGCAUGGGUAGCAAACAGGAUUAGAUACCCUGGUAGUCCAUGCCGUAAACGAUGAUUACUAGGUGUGGGGGGUCUGACCCCCUCCGUGCCGGAGUUAACACAAUAAGUAAUCCACCUGGGGAGUACGACCGCAAGGUUGAAACUCAAAGGAAUUGACGGGGGCCCGCACAAGCAGUGGAGUAUGUGGAUUAAUUCGAAGCAACGCGAAGAACCUUACCAGGUCUUGACAUCCAGCUAACGAAGUAGAGAUACAUUAGGUGCCCUUCGGGGAAAGCUGAGACAGGUGGUGCAUGGUUGUCGUCAGCUCGUGUCGUGAGAUGUUGGGUUAAGUCCCGCAACGAGCGCAACCCUUACUGUUAGUUGCUACGCAAGAGCACUCUAGCAGGACCGCCGUUGACAAAACGGAGGAAGGUGGGGAUGAUGUCAAAUCAUCAUGCCCCUUAUGACCUGGGCCUCACACGUACUACAAUGGCCGUAAACAGAGGGAAGCAAUACCGCGAGGUGGAGCAAAACCCUAAAAACGGUCCCAGUUCGGAUUGCAGGCUGCAACCCGCCUGCAUGAAGUUGGAAUUGCUAGUAAUCGCGGAUCAGCAUGCCGCGGUGAAUACGUUCCCG
rnacentral:rRNA from 1 species